rnacentral:rRNA from 1 species
ACGAACGCUGGCGGCGUGGCUAAGGCAUGCAAGUCGAGCGAACCUAUUUUGAGGGUAACUGAUGAAUGGGUUAGCGGCGGACGGGUGAGGAAUACAUGGGUAACGUGCCCCGGACUCAGGGAUAGCGUUUAGAAAUGAACGGUAAUACCUGAUGACCCCGUAGGAUCGCAUGAUCCAGCGGGCAAAGUUCCGGCGGUCUGGGAGCGGCUCAUGUCCUAUCAGCUAGUUGGCGGGGUAACGGCCCACCAAGGCUGCAACGGGUACCGGGCGUGAGAGCGCGACCCGGCACAUCGGAACUGAGACACGGUCCGGACACCUACGGGUGGCUGCAGCAACGAAUAUUCCGCAAUGGACGAAAGUCUGACGGAGCGACGCCGCGUGGAGGAUGAAGUCCCUCGGGAUGUAAACUCCUGUCAGGGGUUAGGAAAUUUGACCAGCCCCAGAGGAAGCCACGGCUAACUCCGU